rnacentral:rRNA from 1 species
AUCUAGGGUCAUGCUACCCUGAACAAACCCAAUCCUGUCUGAUCUUGGAAGCUAAGCAGGGUCAGGCCUGGUUAGUACUUGGAUGGAAGACCACCUAGGAAGCCUGGGUGCUGUAGGCA